UACGUAGGGCGCAAGCGUUGUCCGGAAUCAUUGGGCGUAAAGAGCUCGUAGGCGGCCUGUUGCGUCCGCUGUGAAAGCCCGGGGCUUAACCCCGGGUCUGCAGUGGAUACGGGCAGGCUAGAGGUAGGUAGGGGAGAAUGGAAUUCCCGGUGUAGCGGUGAAAUGCGCAGAUAUCGGGAAGAACACCCGUGGCGAAGGCGGCUCUCUGGGACGGUACUGACGCUGAGACGCGAAAGCGUGGGGAGCGAACAGG
rnacentral:rRNA from 1 species